UUACUAUAAACAUUGCAUUCAUUCAUUGCAUUCAUUUGCAUGUUCUUCUGUAAGAUGUUAAGAUAUCUUUCAACUACUGGGGGAUAAAAUGAUGUAAUUGUUUGGGUGUUGGUGACAUCUUGAAGGGUUUCAUUAAAUACAUUGGGUCUCAUUCAUGAAACGUGAGCUGAACGAAUUUGUGUGUAAAAUGUGAGUAGAGGGAAAUUUACGGGUUUUUGGCAUUCAUCAAUAUUUUAGUAUCUACGAUCUUUUCGUAGCUACUAACAAAAUCUACACCUGCUGCUGACCACACCUAGUGCUUGUGUAAAUUCAAGAAUGCACAUAAAUAAUGCUUGUCACUAUUGGAAAUUUACAUUUUAAUUCAUAUUGCGCUCUGUUAUGUAAACAAUACACAGAUGCCUUUGAAGCACGUGAUAUGAACAUGACAAACAAUUAAAAAUAUAACACAUUUAGUUAAAUUAGUUGGCAAUUAGCAGGUUUAAGAUCCAGAUUAGGUUCAUGAUUGUGAAUUAUCUAUGAAAAUCGACUCAAUAGAUUACACAUUCUUUGUGAUUCAUUUGCUUACAUAAACCGGAAAAACUUUAAUUCCGUUAAUGUGCAACUGAUCUGUGAGGCACACGCUGCUACUCAGGCCGUUGUGGAGUGCACAAACGGGGUCUUGAAGGCAAGAUGGAUCUGCCUGGACAAUAAAGGUGGUACCCUUCUUUAUGCACCCGGGAAGGUGUGCAAAAUAAUAUUAGCCUGCUGUGUCCUGCACAAUGUGGCCAUUAAACAUGGCCUUCCCCUGCCUGAAGUCCCCAAUGCAGAGGAACGACCGCCUCCGGAACCAGCUCUUGGGCCUCGAAAUGCGGCUGCUAUACAGACACGCCAGCGACUUGUAGAGCAAUUUUAAGGACCUCAUCCGUAAGGACAGCCGGAUCACCUCUUCGGCCUCGGUACCUGGGUGCAGCAGGAGCAGCAGCGGCGGCAGCAGGUGGUGGAGCCACAUCAUGGGAGGAGCACUCGCCAGCUAGAAAUUUGAGACAACGUUUGUUUUGUUUCGUUUUAUGUGUGGCUCUUUUUUCAUUUGAAAGAAACAUUAAAUAAAUCUUAUUUGAAAAAUGUUUAAUUUA